CCUGAAAACCUGGGAUCAAGGCAGAGGACCCCGAUAAAAUGACUGGGAAUUCUCCUCCACUUUGGAAGGUCCCUGGGUCAACGUUUGCAGGUAUCUAAAAGAAAAAUCCUCCAGAGACUGUAUAGAAAUUUACAGCCCAGCACGAGGUGUG